rnacentral:pre_miRNA from 1 species
AUACUACUCCCUCCAUCCGGAAAUACUUGUCGAAGAAAUGCAUAAAAAUGGAUGUAUAUAGAACUAAAAUACGUCUAGAUACAUUCAUUCUUUCGACAAGUAUUUCCGGACGGAGGGAGUACAUG